UAAGCUGGGGAAACAUUGGGCAGAAAUUCACUGAGAUGAUGAAAGAUUUUGCAAUGCCUUCCUCUAUUCUAAACUCAGGGGCUCCCUGUGGGACCAAGUGCAGAGUUCACUGGCUCCCAAAGUAGCCCCCUUCCCACCCCCUUAAAACUUCCCAUUUUAAUUCCCUGUUCAGCCUCCAUUUUGGAUCCAUUUGGAUCCACCUGGAUUAGAGGGGGCUUAGGAUCACCUUCAUUUGCACAAUAUUCAGUAUGAAUAUGAAUACAUAUAUUCCGUUAUGGUUCCUUGGGACAAUGUCCGGUCACUACGCAUUGUCUGAGAGGAGGAGAAAGACAUUCUCACUCUACUUUCAUUCCUCUUUGACUUUCAAGUCCCAGAGGACCUCUGAGUCUUUCCAACUGGGAAAGCGUGGGGCCACAGAUCUUGUGCUUACAAAGGCAAUGAUUCUAAACCUACCCAUUUGUUGAGCUGGACAAAUAACAAUUCUGGCAGAUACCAGAAGGACAUGUGAAAGACAGAGAUCCUUCCUUCCUCUGAACAUUCCCUCAAGGUUUUUUGUUUUCUUUAAACCUUUCUUCUGAUAUUUAUAGAAAAAGUAGCUGGGUGUAGUGGAUUCAGAGGGUUUGAAUACUAUUUUCUAAUCUCACCUCUGACACAUACUGACUAUAGGAUCAUCCUCUCAGUGCCUCAGGCAACUCUUUUAGACUAUAAAAUACAAGGAGAGAGAGUAGAUGAGCUGCAUUGGUGGAGGGAGUUUCCAUGCCAGAAAUUCCCCCUACCAAUUUAAUCACAAGCUCAGUCUAUGCCCUUGUUCCUUCACCAUGGCACUCCUCAUGUCUACCUAGCAUCAUGGUAGUUACUUAUGUACAUAUCUUUCACUAUCCCCAAUAGAUCUUGUCUUAUUCAUCCUUAUAUCCCUUUCAGAGUUCCAUAUGUAGUAGACACUCAACAAUUUUUUGUUGAAGGACUUAUUUUAGUGAAGUUCAUUAUGCAUUUAUUAAGCACUAACUAUGUGCCAGAUGUUAGGGAUAUAAAGAAAAAGAAAAUAGUCUUUUCUCCAAGGAAAAAUAUUUUCUAUUGGGAGAAGAAAAAAGAAGUCCACAAAUGAGGAAAUGAAAUAUAUACAAAGUAAAUAGAAAUUAACUUCCUAACAUAUUUGGGAGAAUUGUUUUUUGUUUGAUUGUAAAGAUCAGAGUUGAAUUUUACUACCAGUUCAUUCUGUGGGCUCUUGCACAAAUGCUGCUCAUCUUUCCCCAGUGAAUAAAAUCAGGAAGUAGGUAGGCCACACCCCACCCAAACAUACCAUAACUUCCCUCAACCCAUCUUUGCAAAUCACCCCCAGCUCAGCAUCUCUCUUGCUCUUCCCUUCAUUUCCUAUUUAGCCUAUGGAUGAGAGCAAUUUCUGGUACAUACCUGCAAGAGUCAUUUUGUCCAGGGCGCUUGAGGCUGUAGUCUGUCAAGGAAUGUCUGUUGCAAUCAGAAGUUGCUAUAGCAACCUGAAGAAAAAGAGAGUUUUACUUGUUGGUGGGUUUUCUAUCCAUAAUAAAGCCAAUAGCUUCAUUCAACAUUAUUCACAAGGGGAUGGCUUCCCCACCCUCUCUGUCAAUCCACCAACAGGCAUCAAUUGGACUUCCACUGGUCUGGCAUUGUCUUAGGUCCUAGUGAUACAAAGACAAAAGGGAAGCAGUCCCUGCCCUCAAGGAGCUUACAUCUAAUAGUGGACACACCACAUAUGUAAAUAGGUACAUACAAGAGACGCAUAAGACAAGGACACAGAAAACUUUCCAUUUUUUUCUCCCCAUUUGAUUAAUCUUUUCCUCUCUCCCUAUUACACUUAAAUGUCAUUUCCUUGGUUUUUUUUUUUUUUGCUAAUUUCUGUUGUUUUGGAGACACAGGGGCAAAAUACGACUAUAAAAUUAUCUAAGAAAUUGAGGGGGGAAAGUUGUCCUUAACUAUAACAUACUUAUUUUUCUUCCCCCAUUCCCUUGCCAUCCAGAUGAACAAGGCUUACAUAUAUUAUUAAAAUAAGAUUCAGAUGCAACUAUCAACUGUCCUGAAACCAGCAGGAUGCACUAGACUUCCUAGUAAAUUCUCAUAGCUAAAAUUCUAACUGUUUUACUUUUUCUUCAGUAUUAUAAUUUUCUAAAAUGGAUUAACUGAUGCAUUUUAUAUUGUCCUUCCCAUUGGCAGUUUAUUUUGCUUUUUCUGCACAUCUGGCUACCAAUGAAAUGUGAAAUUAGAAAAAAAUUCUUUCAGGAGAAAGCAUUAAUGGCAAGGAAGACAAGGAAAGGCAUCUUUUUGAAAGUAGUCUUGAAAGAACCAAUGAUCCCAGGAGGUGAUGUUGAGGAGAGACAAUAUCCCCAGCAAAGGAUACUGCAAAGGUUCGUUUUUCCUUUGAAACUGUCCUUGAAAUUGGAUCAGCUAAAGCUUAGGCCAGUGACAAAGCUUCCUGGUCACUUGGGUACAAAACAGCCAGGAUAUCCAGAGCUUCUGCCUAGAAAACAGCACUGUGUACAAGACCCAGUCGCAGUUCUCAACUGAAUCAGUGUUUUGUCCUGGAAGAAGAUCUGUUUUCUGCUCUGACCAUCCACACCCUCCUCUGCUCAAGUCAUCCUAAAUCCAUUGGCAAGACAAAAAUGAAGAUGACUGUCAUGAUCAUGGUCAGGAUGUGAUGGAUGACCUUGACUUCUGUGAUGGAUGACCUUGACUUCUUCAAUGUCUGACCAACUAAGCAUUCCACAGUUCCUGCUUCAGCUGCCUUCAUAGCUGGGCUAGGAAAUGGGGGUUAAGUGACUUGCCCAGGGUCAUACAGCUAGUAAGUAUCCAAGGUGAGACUUGAACUGUGAUGGGAAGAAGACAUUUUGCAAAAGACUGUGUAAUACAAACAUUAGUGAUUGACAGGAGCAUGUGACUGAGAGUCUCCUAAUCCCUUUUCCUUCUUCCCUUUCUCAAACAAUAAGUCUGAUUUUUUAUAUGUUUCCUUCUUGUUCAUUCCCCUACCAAAUCCCUCUAUUACAGAACCCAGGACCUCCCAUCUCCAGGACUAAUUAUUCAUUGAACCACCUAACUGCCCCAACACUGACAUUUCUCAAUGACCCUGAACAGACAUUAUGAUUUCAAAAUUUCCAAAAUGUUUUCACCUAUAAACGGUAGGAAGCCCCUUGAAAAUGCUUAAGUAAGCAGGAGUGAGGUGUGUUAAAAAAGGACUCAAGAUUUCCUGGAAAUGCCUGAUGGAUUAUCUGCAUGAUAAUAUGUUCAGUACUGUAUAGACCAGAUAUGGCUUCUUCUGUUCUUCCUCCAGAUAGUUGGAGUCAUGUAGACUUUCCUUUGUUCACUCUUCUUAGCUAUCUCUCCCUUUUUAUUUCCACAAACCAAUGAGUCUAAGUUAGAAGAUAUGUCCAGUCCCCCUCACCUUGAAGGAAACUGAGGCUCAGAGGAAUUAAGCAACUUGCCUAAGGUCAAAUAGCCAGUAAAAUGGCAGUCAAGAUUUAAACCCAGAUCCUCUGACAUGCCUAUUCCACUGCUCCUCAUCCAGAUUCUUUUUUCUCAAACCUUGCCACCCUUCUUAAAUGUGUAACGGUCCACAAAACUAGUUUUCUUUAAUGUCCAUCCUUUGGUUGGCAUGAUGAACAUUUCCUGUUUUGAUCUCCAAAGGGCACCUCGUUCUAUCCUUAGAUCUUUUUAUUGGGUCCAAAAUAGCUUCUGUUUUAAAAAGUACCUCAACAACUCUCACCAGAGCAAAAUUCUAAAAUGACCCCCUUAUCACCUCUUCCAUUCUUUUAAGAACCUUGUGCAGACAAUAUAAUGCUGAAUGUUUCCUUUAUUCUUGAAUACUUCUUCAGGAUAUGCUGCCUCAUACCUUGAACUCUAUUUGAAAUGAGAACUGGGUUACUCAUAAAUUCCUAGAGUUGAUCCCUUAAAGAUCAUUUGGUUCAACUUCCCACCCAUUGCAGCAAUCAUUGACAGGUGGCAUCCAUUCUCUGCUUGAAUACUUCUAUUGUUGAAGAGCUCAUUACCUUAUUAGACAUCCCAUUUCAUUGUUGGAUACCUUUGACUGCUAAACCUGGAGAUGUGUUUUUGUGCUGGAGUUAAGUGGCACAAAAUGUAUCAUGGGCAAGGCAAAGGAAGAUAGUGAUAUGGGGUCUUUCUGGUAGUGAGAGAAAAGACUUCACCUGAGAAAGCUUCACUUAGGGUGUGGCUGCCUGGGGGAGGAAGUUCUAUCUCAUAACUUCAUAUAUAAAAUAUUUACUCUGGCUAAUUAUGUGCUAUGAUCAGCUGUUUCUACAUUACUGAAGGUCUUCAAAUGCUGUCAGUGCCCUCUGAAUUUCUAUACCCUGGGACCAAGUCCCAGUUGCUCUGCCUUAGUUACAGUUCUAGUUAGAAAGUUCUUCCUUAAGUUGAACAAACAGCACACCAAUGGGCUUCCUCUAUAGAAAUAUUCCUUGUUGAGACUGAGUAGCACUCAUACGAUUUCCCUAUGAUUGGACAAGUUGUCAGGUGGUCAGGAAGGACCACAAAUGUCAAAGAUAUUGAGCUACAGAGUUGUGACUCUGGGUUGAUAGGAGAGUUUUAAGUCAUAUUAGUGAGUUGAGUAUAGGUUUUAGAAGGAAGCAGAGAUCAAAGGAUGAGAUGGACAUGGGCUAGCCCCUCUUUGGGUCAUUUAGUAGUGAGAGUGACAGGUAGAUUCUCUUCAGACUUGUUCUUCCCCUCUUGAUGGAUUAAUAAACAAGGAUUUGUUAAGCACCUACUAUAUUCCAGGCAUCCUACUAAGCACUGAGGAUACAAAAAUGAAAGUGAAAUAGGCCCUGUCCUCAAGGAUCUUACAAUCUAAUAGUCGAGGUAAAGACACUCUAACGUUGGGAAAACAUUAGCAUCAUAGCUUCCUCCUUUAUUUAAAUAGGAUGAUCUCAUUUCUCAAAGCAUUCUAACUUAAAGUCUAGUGUGGAGAUGGCUGCCUUUCCCCAGAGACGACUGUAUUACCUCCAGAGUUGGAGUCAACUCUGUCUUCUCCAGGUAAGUCAAAGUUCCCUCAUUUUCUCACCUUAAUCUCUAGCAGCUCCACCUGACCCUAAGAGCUCAUACAGAACUCAAUGGUACACUUUGCCUUGGGAUUCUCCAGAGCUCUGCUCUGGAUGUCGAGGGAAUGGAAGAGGGCAGAGCCCUCAAGCUGAGGAAGGCUAAGGGCUUUUCAAUCAAUAUUGCUGUUGCAGUCCAGCUGGGAGAGGGAGGUCUCCCAAAAUGAAAACACCUGAGACCCUGGGACAGUCCUCCACAGCAUACCCCCAAAAGGGCACUCAGGGACAUCUUUCAGAAGCAUUUCAGACUCUGCAAAGGAUUCAGAGAUGCUCCAUUUUUGUACAGUGAGCCCCCUCCAGACUUCACAGUGUCUGUACAGAGGGAGUAGAACAAAGAAAGCCUGGCCACGUGUCUCCAGUAUCCCAUAGCUGGACAUUCCUGCUUUUUCUGGUAACACACCUAGGAUGUCCCUACAGAUGGCUGGGGCAGUGAGGUCAGAGGUGGAUGCUCCCUCCUCCUGGAGUGAAGCUGUGGGGGCGUGGCCCCUCUCUGUUCCCUACUGAAUGGUGGAACUCCAGGGUCAUUCCACACAGAGGGGCAGGUCAGCCUCAGGCUGGGGUGGGGCAAGGGAGUGGGAAGGAAGAAAAGCCUCUACAAAGGAGGGAACUGAUAUUCCCUAGUGCAGAGAAAGCCAGGUGGGAAAGUAAUCUGGGACAAUGGUAGAGAAAAGACAGGAGAGGAAAAAAUAGGAGGGAAAAAGGAAGAGAGAGAUGGUGGGUGAGGCUGGAUAGGUGAAAAAAGUAGCUUCCCACUUGAUACAGCAAGGGGAUUGGAAAAGGUAGAGAGAGGGCAAAACUGAUGACAAGGAUGGACUUUUAACUAAAUCUUUUUCUCUCCUCAAUAAUGUCUUUUAUGCAAAAAUUCCUCCCGGACAUGAAAAAUGAAAGAAACCCCGAUUCCUGGCCCCAACGGACUCCACCCCUAGCUCCAGAAUGGGGACAAAGCUUGGAACCCGAGCUUUCCCUCUAAGAUACUCAUUAUCUUAUCCCUGACACUUCCCACAGCUCCAAGAAUCCAACAAAGUUUAAUGGAAGGAGUGAACUAGAGGCAAAAUAAUGGACUCAAUGUGCUACUUGGCUGUCUGGUGCUCCCUCCCCCAACCUCUUCUAUGUCUUCAAAUUUUUUUUUUUGAGAUGCCCCAAGCAUUGGUAUUUGUUUUCUACUUACCCCAACCCAGUUAGUGGUGAGCUGCUUGCUUCCUCACUCCC